rnacentral:rRNA from 1 species
AACAAAAACAUGUCCUUUUGAAUUUUAUUUAAGGUCUAACCUGCCCAAUGAAAAAUUUAAAUGGCCGCAGUAUUUUGACUGUGCAAAGGUAGCAUAAUCAUUAGUUUUUUAAUUGAAAGCUUGUAUGAAGGGUUGGACGAGAUAAAAACUGUCUUAAAUUAAUUUAUUUUAGAAUUUAAUUUUUAAGUUAAAAAGCUUAAAUUUAAUUAAAAGACGAGAAGACCCUAUAGAUCUUUAUAAUUUUUAUUUUAAUUAAAUUUUGGAAUUAAUUAUUAUUUAAAUUAAAAAUUAUUAUAUUGGGGUAAUAUAAAGAUUAAACAAAUUCUUUAUUUAUAAAUACAUUAAUUUAUGAAUAUUUGAUCCAAUAUUAUUGAUUAUAAGAUUAAGUUACCUUAGGGAUAACAGCGUAAUUUUUUUAGAGAGUUCAUAUCGAUAAAAAAGUUUGCGACCUCGAUGUUG